rnacentral:rRNA from 1 species
AGUGAACGCUGGCGGUAGGCCUAACACAUGCAAGUCGAACGGCAGCACAGUAAGAGCUUGCUCUUACGGGUGGCGAGUGGCGGACGGGUGAGGAAUACAUCGGAAUCUACUUUUUCGUGGGGGAUAACGUAGGGAAACUUACGCUAAUACCGCAUACGACCUACGGGUGAAAGCAGGGGAUCUUCGGACCUUGCGCGAUUGAAUGAGCCGAUGUCGGAUUAGCUAGUUGGCGGGGUAAAGGCCCACCAAGGCGACGAUCCGUAGCUGGUCUGGGAGGAUGAUCAGCCACACUGGAACUGAGACACGGUCCAGACUCCUACGGGAGGCAGCAGUGGGGAAUAUUGGACAAUGGGCGCAAGCCUGAUCCAGCCAUACUGCGUGGGUGAAGAAGGCCUUCGGGUUGUAAAGCCCUUUUGUUGGGAAAGAAAAGCAGCAGGUUAAUACCCCGCUGUUCUGACGGUACCCAAAGAAUAAGCACCGGCUAACUUCGUG